AACGAACGCUGGCGGCGUGCCUAAUACAUGCAAGUCGAACGAAGCUGUUUUAACUGGUGCUUGCACCGACUUAAACAACUGAGUGGCGAACGGGUGAGUAACACGUGGGUAACCUGCCCCAAAGCGGGGGAUAACAUUUGGAAACAGAUGCUAAUACCGCAUAACCACAGAAACCACAUGGUUUCUGUGUCAAAGAUGGUUUCGGCUAUCCUGUUGGGAUGUACCCGCGGCGGAUUAGCUAGUUGGUAAGGUAAUGGCUUACCAAGGCAAUGAUACGUAGCCGAACUGAGAGGUUGAUCGGCCACAUUGGGACUGAGACACGGCCCAAACUCCUACGGGAGGCAGCAGUGGGGAAUCUUCCACAAUGGACGAAAGUCUGAUGGAGCAACGCCGCGUGAGUGAAGAAGGUUUUCGGAUCGUAAAACUCUGUUGUCAGAGAAGAACGUGUGCGAGAGUAACUGUUCGUGCAGUGACGGUAUCUGGCCAGAAAGCCACGGCUAACUACGUGCCAGCCGCCGCAGUAAUAC
rnacentral:rRNA from 1 species